GAGACUCUGUGCGCGUGCAUAUCAAUAAGCGGAGGAAAAGAAACUAACAAGGAUUCCCUUAGUAACGGCGAGUGAAGCGGGAAGAGCUCAAAUUUGAAAUCUUCAAGGUUCUACCUUGACGAAUUGUAGUUUAUAGAAGUGUUUUCUGUUAGUGGAGUGGCAAAAGUUCUUUGGAAUAGGACAUCAUAGAGGGUGAGAAUCCCGUAUUUGGUCAUUCCUCCUAGCGUUGUGAUACACUUUCAAAGAGGUCGGAUUGUUUGGGAAUGCAGUCCAAAAUGGGUGGUAAAUUUCAUCUAAAGCUAAAUAUUGGCGAGAGACCGAUAGCGAACAAGUACCGUGAGGGAAAGAUGAAAAGAACUUUGAAAAGAGAGUUAAACAGUACGUGAAAUUGUCAAAAGGGAAGCGUUUGACACCAGUGUUGUUUUUUCCGAAAAUCAAUUACGAAUGUUUUGUUUUUGAGGAGUUAUGACUUCAUCGGCUUGCUCCUUUCUUUACGAAACUUUCUUAAUGCACUUUUCGGUUAACAAGUCAACAUCAAUUUCUUUUGUUGUAAAAGGGUAUGAGGAAGGUGGCUUUCUUUUCGGAGAAAGUGUUUAUAGCCUUGUGCCUCUGCAAUCGGAGAGAUUGAGGUCUGCAGCGUAGAUCCUUCGGGGUUAGAUACAUUUGUGCUAAGUUAUAGCCUUUCAUAGACAACUUGUUUGACUAUGAUCAGUCAUGUAGCUUACUCGCUUAUGCUAUUUUACCUACGCUUAGGAUGUUGACAGCAGUAUAGACUGU
rnacentral:rRNA from 1 species